CAACAGUCCACACCAUAAGAAUCAACCUGACAGCAAACUUUGAAUCUAGUUGAGACAGUCCCAAUUCAUUAGUAGUCCUUUUGAGUUUCCAUUGUGCUAAGUAGUGUGUUCUAUAAGGAACAUUUUUGCCUGGCAGAGGUUGAAGAAAAGCCGAAUUUAAAAGGCUACUAUAAUUAGAACUUUUGCUAAUGGCACUUAAACUGAUUAAUGUCCAAUAGUACCCACUCCACUGAAGCAUAUUUUUUAGGCAGUUAUACGUUUAUAUUAAAUUAAACCUUCAUUAAAUGAAUGAGCUUGUGGGGUAGUAUCUCUAUGUAGCUCUUGGAGUUAAUUCUGUGAUGAUAUGGCCACCAACAUGGAGGGCCUUUUCUCUUGCCAUUUCCUUAUGCCGGAAAUGUUCUUUCCAUUUAUCUCCUAUGGCUGGCUUUUGUGUUUCAGUGUAGUCCUCCUUGGCCACUCUCCCCAUCCACUCUCUCCAUACCAGCUGGGGGCAACUUUUCUGUUGUACGUGUCAUUAGUUGGAAUACUGCUGCAAAUUUACAAGCAAGCUGUUGCUAUAUCCCUUACUGAAGUCAAAGCCCCACAAAGGCAGGUACCUUGCCUAUGUUAUUCACUCUUUGUAUUAUUGUUAUAUUUUUAAAUAAAGCAUAACAAGUUACCACAAACCCAGCAGUUUAAAACAAUACACACUUCCAGGCUGGGCAGAUGGCUCAGCAGUUAAGAGCGCAGUAUCAUUUUUGCAGAGGGUCUGUGGUUGGUUCCCAGUACCCUGUCCUAUGGCUCACAUGGUUCCCAGUACCCUGUCCGUGACUCACAAUUGCUUUUAACUCUAGCUAACUAGGAUCUGACAACAAUAACCUCCACAGGCACCUGCACUCACAUUGACUCACCAUACCCCUCCCCAACACAUUGCUAGAAACCUUUAAAAUACUGUUUCAGUUCAUUUUCAAAUGGAAUUCAGGCUUUCACCAGACAGAAAUCAAGGUGUGGGACAGACUCCCAUCUCCUCUUUGAUAGAGCCUUCUAAUAGCCUUUACAGUCUCUUAUGGGUGUGGCACUGAGGUUUGGUGCUAGCUUCGCCAUGGGUGGAGCUCAGUGCUCUUAGCUCCCAGAGACUCCCAGCAGUUUUAUACACGAGACUUGCUCACAACACAGUUGUUUGUUUCUUUUCAAUUGGAAGAAUCUUUGAUCUCUUUGAAUCCUGGGUUAAAGCAUUCGUCUGGUUAGGUCAGGAUCACCCAGGAUAAUCUUCUGAUGAAAUUAAAAUUAGCUGAGUGAAGUGUUGGUUGUCCAUAUACAAUCUUUUCAGCAUCGAUUCAUAAUGAACAGAAUCGUAGGAGCCACAAGCUAUCGAAGUCACAAGUGAUUACACGCAAGGGAAGGUAAUGUAUAGGGAAUGAGUACCAAUGUGAGCAUCCUGGAGUCUGCAUUUAAUUUGUCUACAGAUUGUUAAUAUCUCUGAGACCAACUGGCACUUAAUAGAUAAAUGUCAGUAAAAUAAGAAUUGAGGAAGUGGUGAGAAAAGCAAAUUAUUUCAAUGUUAUAUGAUUAUGUGUUCAGAUAGAUGUAUGUUGAUCAUCCUACAAUUGAAUUCAAAAUAGUCCAGUGGUUGGAUUGCCCACUCAAUUCAUUGUCCUCACUGAGGGAUUUGUGGCUACUAGAUGAUGUCAAUGGGAAUUUGGAAAUAUUUGUUGUGUCAUUUAGACAAAACUUUUGCAGCAUAAUCUUGGUAAUUAUUCUGUCCCACAGACCAUGUAGAUGAAAGUGUUAAGCCCAAGGUUGCUACAGUGGUGUGUAGGCAGAAGUCCAUCUCUUCCUUCUAGCUUUGUGGGUUUAUUUCACACCGAAUGAUACUGGAACACUACCCAGGACUCUGUCUUGACUCCCCUGCAGUCUUCUACUUCCUCUUCAAUGACGGCAGAUCCCCAAACACUUAGUGACAUAUGGCAGCCUCUCUGUGAAGUGUGCUGAAUGCCAUGCAUUAGCUUUCUGGCUCUGGAGUGCUGCAUUUCAUUUUGGGCAUCAUACUUCUUAAAGGGAUAUUGACAAAGUGGGACCCAGCCUCUGGAAACCUGCUCUGGAAGAGGUAGUUAGAAAAAGAUAAUUACCCUAUUCUCCGCGUAACUAGUACUUCCGCAGAAGAGGGCCAAAGGGAUGGGGAUGUUUCAGGGCCAAAGGGAUGGGGAUGUUUCAGCAGAACUUCCUAAGAACCACUGAAAGAAACUGGAGGCAUUCAGCCUAGAAAGUUCCUAUCAGCAGACCUAGAGACAAUAUGUGGGAUUUAAAGGUAAACAGGCUUUUAUUUUAUAUAAGGAAUAUGGUUCUGCUGAACACAGCUGUGUCAUGAUGAAACAUAUGUAUGCAAGAAAAACCAGCAAGCUCUUGUAGAUUGAGGAACUCCUGCACAGGGCAUGGUAUACCUCUCUCUCACUCCAAUGUGCAGCCUGGGAAUCACUCGAGGCCAGAUGCA